rnacentral:rRNA from 1 species
UACGUAGGGUGCAAGCGUUGUCCGGAAUUAUUGGGCGUAAAGAGCUCGUAGGCGGUCUGUCGCGUCGGCUGUGAAAACCUGGGGCUCAACUCCGGGCCUGCAGCCGAUACGGGCAGACUAGAAUUCGGUAGGGGAGACUGGAAUUCCUGGUGUAGCGGUGAAAUGCGCAGAUAUCAGGAGGAACACCUGAGGUGAAGACGGGUUGCUGGGCUGACACUGACGCUGAUAGCGCGAAAGCCAGGGGAGCAAACGGG